CACGUAGGGCGCAAGCGUUGUCCGGAAUUACUGGGCGUAAAGAGCUCGUAGGCGGUCUGUCACGUCGGCUGUGAAAUCCUGAGGCUCAACCUCGGGUCUGCAGUCGAUACGGGCAAACUAGAGUAUUGCAGGGGAGACUGGAAUUCCUGGUGUAGCGGUGAAAUGCGCAGAUAUCAGGAGGAACACCGGUGGCGAAGGCGGGUCUCUGGGCAAUAACUGACGCUGAGGAGCGAAAGCGUGGGGAGCGAACAGG
rnacentral:rRNA from 1 species